rnacentral:tRNA from 2 species
GCUCUCUUGGUCUAGUAGGUCUAGGACGUUGUUUUUUCGCGACAAAAACGUGGGUUCAAAUCCCACAGAGAGCG